rnacentral:lncRNA from 1 species
UAUAAAAUGUAGAUUAGACCGUUGGUUUUCCCGUUUGAAUGGUUUUACACGUCUAGUAAUUUUGGAGCCCUUUAUAGCUUGUUGUUCGGUGUGAGCCAAGGCUCCGUUUUGAAGGCCGUACAUUGACCUAUAAUGGUUUACUUUUAUAAAUUGUUAUUUGGAUUUAGAGUUGUCUCAUUGGCACUAACACCACAUCUUCCUAUA